GACGAACGCCGGCGGCGUGCUUAACACAUGCAAGUCGAACGAUGAAGCCUUCGGGUGGAUUAGUGGCGAACGGGUGAGUAACACGUGGGUGAUCUGCCCUGCACUUUGGGAUAAGCCUGGGAAACUGGGUCUAAUACCGGAUAGGACCGCAUGCUUCAUGGUGUGUGGUGGAAAGAUUUAUCGGCUGGGGAUGGGCCCGCGGCCUAUCAGCUUGGUGGUGGGGUAGUGGCCUACCAAGGGGACGACGGGUAGCCGGCCUGGGAGGGUGACCGGCCACACUGGGACUGAGAAACGGCCCAGACUCCUACGGGGGGCAGCAGUGGGGAAUAUUGCGCAAUGGGCGGAAGCCUGACGCAGCGACGCCGCGUGGGGGAUGACGGCCUUCGGGUUGUAAACCUCUUUCAGCAGGGACGAAACCUGCAAGGGUGACGGUACCUGCAGAAGAAGCACCGGCCAACUACGUGCCAGCAGCCGCCGUAACAC
rnacentral:rRNA from 1 species